GGGCCCGUAGUCGAGAGGAUUUUUGCCCCGGUGUUUUCGAAUGGCAAAAACCCUGAAAAAAGCCAUGAGGUUCGUCCUCGCGGCUCAAUAAUGGUUAAGACGUCGCUCUUACACAGCGAAGAUCCGCGGUUCGAUCCCGCGCGGGCCCA
rnacentral:tRNA from 1 species